UCAUGGAGAGCGGAUACAUGGGUGGAGUCGCCAGUAUGCAGAUGUAUGUGAUUUACUGCUUUAUCAUGAUACAAAUAAAAGAUGAGGUGUAGUGGCUUGACUUUAGGACCAGAACUGCCCAACAACCAGUGUUUUGGGAAGAAAAUAAUCAAGAAGCAGAAGGGUCCAUGUUUGAGUGAGUAUCGGAGCCGGGGAACAGGCUGGAUCCGUGUCUCCGCUCAGCAACCUACACCCUUGAGUAAUGAAGGCCAUCUGCUUCCAAAGAGCUCCGUCAGCAAAACAGAGUCAGCCGAAAAGAUUUCAAUUAUCAAUAUACCAUUUAAUACAUCGCCCGCAGGCCAAACAGUCUGGCGUGCCGACAGCGCGAGAUGGAGGAUGUUAUUCCUCAGCUACAUGGGUGGAUUCUGCAACGCGGCAAAUCAGGGUUCAGAGCUGUCUCGCAUCUAUCAUGCAAUGGAUAAAUGACCAUGUCUGAGGAGAAGCAAACAACCCUGCGCCUUAGCAGACCGGUUAGUGCAACACUGUUUACUCACAACAAACCAAGCCGUUUUUGAUCAUGACAAGGCAGAACACGGUAGAUUACAGAGACUUGGAUGUGAACACUGAAAGUAGAGUUUUAUAUGUAAAGUAAAACCAGUUAGAGGCUCUAU